GAUGAACGCUGGCGGUAUGCUUAACACAUGCAAGUCGAACGGACUCUUCGGAGUUAGUGGCGGACGGGUGAGUAACGCGUGAGAAUCUGGCUUUGGGUUCGGGACAACCACUGGAAACGGUGGCUAAUACCGGAUGUGCCGAGAGGUAACAGAGAAAUUGCCUGAAGAUGAGCUCGCGUCUUAUUAGCUAGUUGGUGAGGGAAAGGCUCAACAAUGCAGCGAUCAGUAGUUGGUCUGAGAGGAAGACCAGCCACACUGGGACUGAGACGCAGCCCAGACUCCUACGGGAGGCAGCAGUGGAGAAUUUUCCGCAAUGGGCGAAAGCCUGACGGAGCAAUACCGCGUGAGGGAAGAAGGCUCUGGGGUUGGAAACCUCUUUUCUUAGGGAAGAACAAAAUGACGGUACCUAAGGAAUCAGCAUCGGCUAACUCCGUG
rnacentral:rRNA from 1 species